rnacentral:rRNA from 1 species
UUGGAGGGCAAGUCUGGUGCCAGCAGCCGCGGUAAUUCCAGCUCCAAUAGCGUAUAUUAAAGUUGUUGCAGUUAAAAAGCUCGUAGUUGAAUUUCGGGAUCAAUACGUCGGUCGUGCUUUCGGGUACGUACUGGCGUCAUUGGUUUCUCCUUUCUGACGAACCAUGAUGUCAUUAAUUUGGUGCGCCGGGGAAGCAGGACUGUUACCUUGAAAAAAUUAGAGUGCUUAAAGCAGGCUAUCGCCUGAAUACAUUAGCAUGGAAUAAUGAAAUAGGACGGCAUGGUUCUAUUUUGUUGGUUUCUAGGAUUGACGUAAUGAUUAAUAGGGAUAGUUGGGGGCAUUAGUAUUCAAUUGUCAGAGGUGAAAUUCUUGGAUUUAUUGAAGACUAACUACUGCGAAAGCAUUUGCCAAGGAUGUUUUCAUUAAUCAAGAACGAAAGUUAGGGGAUCGAAGACGAUCAGAUACCGUCGUAGUCUUAACCAUAAACUAUGCCGACUAGGGAUCGGAUGAUGUUAAUUUUUUAAUGACUCAUUCGGCGCCUUACGGGAAAC